rfam:Gasterosteus aculeatus cont1.015881, whole genome shotgun sequence.
AUCUUUGGUUAUCUAGCUGUAUGAGUGAUGUACAUUCUUCAUAAAGCUAGAUAACCGAAAGU